rnacentral:rRNA from 1 species
UACGAAGGGGGCUAGCGUUGCUCGGAAUCACUGGGCGUAAAGGGCGCGUAGGCGGCCAUUCAAGUCAGGGGUGAAAGCCUGUGGCUCAACCACAGAAUUGCCUUUGAUACUGUUUGGCUAGAGACCGGAAGAGGUAAGUGGAACUGCGAGUGUAGAGGUGAAAUUCGUAGAUAUUCGCAAGAACACCAGUGGCGAAGGCGGCUUACUGGUCCGGUUCUGACGCUGAGGCGCGAAAGCGUGGGUAGCAAACAGG